rfam:Streptococcus sp. DD10 genomic scaffold scaffold00008, whole genome shotgun sequence.
GGAGGAUUACCCAAGUCUGGCUGAAGGGAACGGUCUUGAAAACCGUCAGGCGUGUAAAAGCGUGCGUGGGUUCGAAUCUCACAUCCUCCU